UACGGAAGGCAGCAGUGGGGAAUAUUGCACAAUGGGCGAAAGCCUGAUGCAGCUAUGCCGCGUGUAUGAAGAAGGCCUUAGGGUUGUAAAGUACUUUCAUCGGGGAGGAAAAACAAAACUAAUAAUUUUAUUUCUUGACGUUACCUGAAAAAGAAGCACCGGCUAACUCCGUGCCAGCAGCCGCGGUAAUACGGAGGGUGCUAGCGUUAAUCAGAAUUACUGGGCGUAAAGAGCACGUAGGUGGUUUUUUUAAGUCAGAUGUGAAAUCCCUGGGCUUAACCUGGAACUGCAUUUUGAAACUGAAAUACUAGAGUAUCGUAGAGGGAGGUAGAAUUCUAGGUGUAGCGGUGAAAUGCGUAGAUAUCUGGAGGAAUACCUGUGGCGAAAGCGGCCUCCUAAACGAAUACUGACACUGAGGUGCGAAAGCGUGGGGAGCAAACAGGGAUUAGAUACC
rnacentral:rRNA from 1 species